GACGAACGCUGGCGGCGUGCUUAACACAUGCAAGUGGAGCGACGAACCAGGCUUCGGCCUGGGGCAAAGCCGCGAACGGGUGAGUAACACGUGGGUAACCUGCCCCGAUGACCGGGACAACCCGACGGAAACUCGGGCUAAUACCGGAUGUGGUCACCUCACAUAAGUGAGAUGACUAAAGAUAGCUUCGGCCUUCGCAUCGGGAGUGGGCCCGGCCGGCGCAUUAG
rnacentral:rRNA from 1 species